rnacentral:rRNA from 1 species
GACGAACGCUGGCGGCGUGCCUAAUACAUGCAAGUAGGACGCUGAAGCUUGGUGCUUGCACCGAGCGGAUGAGUUGCGAACGGGUGAGUAACGCGUAGGUAACCUGCCUGGUAGCGGGGGAUAACUAUUGGAAACGAUAGCUAAUACCGCAUAAGAGUAGAUAUCGCAUGAUAGCUGCUUGAAAGGUGCAAUUGCACCACUACCAGAUGGACCUGCGUUGUAUUAGCUAGUUGGUGAGGUAACGGCUCACCAAGGCAACGAUACAUAGCCGACCUGAGAGGGUGAUCGGCCACACUGGGACUGAGACACGGCCCAGACUCCUACGGGAGGCAGCAGUAGGGAAUCUUCGGCAAUGGACGGAAGUCUGACCGAGCAACGCCGCGUGAGUGAAGAAGGUUUUCGGAUCGUAAAGCUCUGUUGUAAGAGAAGAACGAGUGUGAGAGUGGAAAGUUCACACUG